UUAAUUAAACCAAUUUAUAAAUAAAAAAGAAUCUGCCGCAAUGACUGAUUUUCAUGGCUACCAAACUGUGAGUUCCAUAAUAACUGUUGAGUUCCAUACUAUUACAGUCACUGUAAUAGUAUCAGUAUAAAUAAAUAAUCUUCCAAACUCGCCCAAAUCAAACAUGUCGUGAGUUCUAUAGUCACUGUUGAAAAAAGUAGCUGAAGCUCUGAAUCGUACGAAUCUGCCGCCAUGAAAAUCGAUGAUGGGUUUUUUUUGUUUGGAGGAGAGAGAAAAGGGGGCGGAAGAGGCGAAUUGAGACUUGAGGCCUUUAUCGUCGAUUCGUCUCUCUCAUUAAAAGCCUUCCCGUUCCCUCUUACCCUUUCCUCUUUCAUACCCAACUUUCCUUUGUGUGUCGAGGUUCGAGAAAAUCCAAAUGAAGAUGAGAAGUCUCUGCUUACCUUGAGGUACAAUCAAUUUUGUUAAUUUCUAUUUCAUUUACACAAUCCAUUGUUUUCUUAGUCAGAAAUGAAUUUUUGAUUUUUGUUCCAGUUUUUGGUUUGUAAAACCCUAUGGGUCACUGAAUUUGUACAUAGAAGAACCACAAUCUUCAAUAAUUUGAGUUGUUUAGAAAAGGGUUUUGUGGGUUAUGGAUUUGGAGUACUCUGAUAUAAUGGAUUUUAUUAGGGGUAAUAUGGCCAUGGAUGUUGAUUUGAACUUAGAGCCUACUGGUUCAGGGGUAGGGGUAGAUCUUUUAAGUGGAUUAUCCUCCUCCCGAGAUAAGUAAUACUAUUGCAGUUGAACCAGGAGGUUUUGUGGAGAAGAUCUUGAUGAGGCGGCGGUGGCAUGUGCAAAUGGAUUUGUUGAUGGAAGUGACAACUGAGAGGCGGCAGAAGCGGCAUUCUUGAUCGGAAACUUUCUGGUGCGGCGGCGGUUGUGGUGGCUCAUUCGAUUUUCUGGGAGAGAGAAAAAUAGGGAGAGACAUAUAAGGAAAUGUUUUAUAUUAAUUUGUUAUGUUAAUGUGUUUUGACGAUUUUGCCCUUUAUUUAAAUAGAUUUGUUUAUGUAAUGAAUAAAAAAUAGUUUUUUUGACACAUAAGCUGCUUAAGACCCC
rnacentral:lncRNA from 1 species